rnacentral:lncRNA from 1 species
CUUGUGACAGAGAAAAUACCUCCUUAGCUUAGCUAGCUAGUUAGGCCUCCUACAGUUCAAUCUAAUCUCACCGUUGGAUCCAGUGAGUGGCUUAUUAUCUCCCAUCUUGAUCAUUGCCUUGGCAAAGUCAGAAUUGAAGGUAUUGGCACUGCCGCUGUACGUUUUAACCAAUGAAUCUGUGGAUCCACCAUUGUUGUAGAGAAUUUGGUCAGAGUGGAGGAGGCCCUUUUGGUUGAUGAGGUUCUUGAAGUAAGCAGUGUCAAAAGUGUUGGGAGUUUGGACGUCCAAAGGUGCAAGGUUGUUGUCUCCUGAGCCAACGGUACUUGGGCAUUUGCUUUGCCUGGCCUUGGCAAAUGAUGCAUCAAUGUUGGUCUCGUUGUAUAUGCGAGCUCUGAAAGAUGUGCACCUUGCUUGCCCGAUUGUGUGCGCUCCUGCCAUCACGUAACAUAACAUGUUAGAUUAUCUGACAAAAUUAACCUUUUUUGUAUACAAACGUUUUAAUUGUUAUAUAUAAAUGAGAAUCAUAGAUCAUCGAAUGUAAACAAAUGAAAUACUGACACAUCAGUUAAGGGGGUGCUGUGAUUGUUACCAGAUAGGGCUACCAAGUCCCUUUCAUUGAGACCUACAGCUUGGAAUCUAGUUUUGAGCUGGCUGAGGGUAGAAGUGGGAGGAGGGAUGACUCCACUGUUGGCAGCAGCGAGGCUAGCUGUCUUGGAAUCCCUUCUUCCAAGUUUAACAUUCCAACUUGGUCCUCCAAGCUGCAACAAAAUAAAAAGCAAAGUUUCUAAGUGUUAAUAGAAUAAAUUAAUAUCCCUAAAAAUAUUGGAUAUUAACUGUUAAUUUAGCAUAAUUAGUAUCAUGUGUUUUUGUUGUGAUGUGUAAAAUUAAGUGAAAAAUUUGUAUUUGUUACUCACAAUCUUAACGGAGUCUCGAGCAGCAAUGGCUAAAAUAUCAGCACAUGAAACGACGCCGGGACAUGUUUUUUCCACUUGGGACUUAAUGUUAUCCACAACCUCAAAUCCCCUAACAGAGUUAUUAUUGGGACGUGCAGUCUUCUCUCCUGUGAAAGAAGAAGUGUCGUCGAGCAGUAUAGACCCAUCACAACCCUGGUUAUGAUCAAUUAAACACCACAGGAUUAGGUACGGGAAGGGAGAUCGAACUCACGUACAAAGAAAAGGUAGACACACUACUUUAGUCAAUUGGUCUAACCCACAACUAAUAAUAAUUUUUAAGUUAUUAUUAAACACUAAGAUAUAUAAUUGUUUAAACAUGAAACUGUAAAGUCAACAUGUAUGCGAUGUUUACUAAUUAAACACCAACAUAAUUUGAAUAAGGAGACACUGAGAAAAUUAAUUAUUGGUAUUAGGUAUGUUCAUGCCCCCAUGAUGUUGAAAAUAUUUUACUGCCGUAAAGGGCGCCUUUGGGAUUUCAUCAUCGAAGACUAGGACUUUUGCCAUAUAUGCACGUCUUCAACCUGCGUGCAGCAUAUUUAAAUUUUCGUAGGGGAGAACAUAGAAAAGUGAGGAGAACCAUGUUUUUCUUUUUCAUGCAAAUACAAGUUCAUUUGUUUUCAUCAUCUCCUAUACAUUAUUAUUGUAGAUGUGACACAAUGAUUGAACUUUGACAACAGCAGGGCAGACAGAAUUUGUAAUUACAAACAAUAUCACAUGUUUUUCUUCAUAAUAUAUAAAUAAAAACAAGAAAAAUAAUGCAUGCUAUCAUUUCAUUAUUAAGAGGUAGUAUGACGUGACAGCAUAUGAGAUAUACGUGUUAAAGUUCAUCAUAAACUGUUAACAUAAUAAAAAACAAAAAAAUACAAAUUAGGGCUGUUCAUGUUUAAUGUAGAGAUUAUUUCUGCCGACAAGUCCUACGACUUGAAAACUGAUUUCAAUAAAAGUUCAACAAAGCUAAAAACUAAAAUAAAAAGUAAAUGCAAUGCAAUACAAAACAACACUAUUUAAAUUUAAAAUUUAACUUUGUUAAGCUUGAAACUCUUAAAAGAUAGUCUAUGAAUAAUAUGUAGAAAUAUUUUUAAUCAAACAUACAAUAAAAAAUCAAACAAAUUUUCAUAAUAGCAUAUCAAUAAUACCAAACCAAAAUUUAUAAUUCACCCAUAACUAAGCCCUAGAAUACUCAAUUUUAACAAAAUCUCAAAUCAAAGCCAUACAAGAAUUCAUCCCUAAUCAAAGCCCUAAUUAAUUUCAACAAAAUCCCAGAGUUAAAAUUCAUCCUUAAUUCCUAAAAUACUCGAUUUUAAAUUAAAACUAUAAUUAAGGAUAUAUAGCAAAGGAGAGAAUGAGAAUAAUACUUCUUGUUAACAAAAGGAGAGGAGAAUAUAUUAUUGCCAAAUUGCCCAUCCAAAAUAAUAGAAGAUGUAGCAAAUAGAGGAAGAAUUUGACCCCAAAAAAAGAGAGGAGAAACUUGUUGCUAUCGGGUAGCAAAGAGAGAGGGAGAAACAAGAAGUCUAAUAGGCCGAAAGAGAAGGAGAGAAGAUAUGAGACCACCUGGAUGGGCAACAUAUGUGUAGGGUUUGUUUUAAAUAUUUUUUAAUUUUUGGAUGGGCUUAUAACACAUGUAGGUAAUUUUUUUAUUAAAAAAAAAAAAAUUGGGCUAGGCGGGCUGCCCUGUGCAUAGCACCGCCCAUGAGCCGUACUUAAUUAAUAUGUAACAUAGAUAAAUUAAAUGUGGGUUAAGUCAGUUAGCCAAGACAGUGAGCCCACCCUCUUGCACCCAGAUUCGAGUCCCCUCUUCCUAUAGAUUGAAUUAAUGUAAAAUAAUUUAAAUUAUCGCUUAUAUAAAAUAAAAAAAAUGAAUAAGAAAUAAUUACAUUAACAAAGCAGUCAUGAAAGUGAAGGCGAAGGAGGGAAGCUCCCAUGCGCUUUUCUUUGUUCACAGCAGACUGCACAACAGAUUUGACUGCAUCAAAAACCUUAGGGCAACUCUUCGAAUAGAAAUUUGUAGAGAGCUGAGCAGAAGAGCUCCCUGUGAAACCCACAAGAAGGACAAUCACCCAUAUGGAACACAGAGAAGAACUCCUACCAGAAGCCAUUGGUAAUUUCAAAAGCUGAUUAAAUUAACAAAGGGUUUAACAAGGGUUUAGGAGUGAUAGCUUUGGCAGCUUAAGAGAGCCCUUGGUGUAUGCAUGGAGAUUAAAAGGGUUUAUAUUUAUAGAGGAAGAAAUGAGGGGAGGGGGAGUUUGGCGCUGGCAGGUUACCUAAUCUGAAAGACUAAGACUAAGUAUAAGCAGUGCAUGGCAUGGGAUUUCUACGUCUAGAACUUAAUUAAAUGCAUUAUUAAUAAUUAUUAAUUAGCCAACUGUAAGGAUUGAAAAUGACAGACCAAGUAAACACCAAAACACGUUUAGUGAAAUGAACCAAAGGCAGACAGUCAAUCGGGGAAUGGAUCAAAAUCAUACUUUUGGGGGCUCCACUGACUUUGUCUUUUAAACUUUUUUGGGAUUUCGUGAAGAUAUCAGGCAAAGAAUUGAACAAUUCCAACCACACAGAAAAUAAUUGGAGCGCUUGGUGUUCGUAAGCUUAGAUCGAAGGUUAAUUAUGUUAAAUUUAUCGAGCCUAAGAGUGUGGGAAGACCCUAAUUUUUCUUUUCAAAUGAUUAUAAAAUCUUGAUUAGUUCUAAGUGAGGGUGAUUUUCACGUUUAAAAGAUAAACGAAGAGCUAGUAGAGUGAGAAAGUAACUAGGAUUCCUCAUAUUCAUUUUAGGCCAUCAAUUAUAAUACAAAGAGAUGUCAAUAUGGAUUCAAAUAUGAGACUUCUGACCUGCAAAAUCAAGAUUAUUUUUUACUGGAUUAGACAUUUAAACGUUUUUUCAACUGCUUAUUUCUCUAUAUAUUGAAAUCGUAAAAUAAUAACACUUUUUAUCUCACUCUCCACAUUUUCAAGAUUCCCUGUGGUUCUUUUUUGAACGAGAUACAAACACUAGAGACUAGAAACGGCCAAAAUAGAGGAAGACAUCAAAAGACAAGUACCAACUAAAUUUGAAUCAUCUUCGACUAAAAAACGAAACUUGAAUAAUCAAAAGAUAAGAUUAAAGUAAUUGCAAAGACUUGUCUAGCUUCAUGUAAUUUCCAUCUUUUCUUCCUCAGAGAAACGUAGGUAAAGCCAAAAUAAAUAAAGAAAAACAGUGCUCUUCUAGAAAAAAUAGAAAAAAACAUUAAAUAUGCCAUGAAAAAUUGAGUGAAAAAUGAUCUGUGACUGCGUAUUUUUGGCAGGUCGUCUGUAGCUAUCACAUACAGAUCGACAAGGGCUUUUAGACAAGAAAUUUUAAGUUUUGAGUGUGACGAGAUGACAUUUGUAGGCAAGCAACAGAUAGGGUCAAUUUAGUAAUGAUGUUGUUUUGAUUAUUGAUGAAUUUAGUUAAGGAUGGAUAAUCAUGUCUCAAACCUUUUUUUUCUUACAUAGUACGUAGUGAUUUGUAAAACCGUUAAUAAUUAGAUGUGAGUUUUAUACUUAGUGGACCCACAUGCAUGUGGUUAGAGCUUAGCUAGAAGAUUCAUGAUGCGACUCGCAUUUAUUUCUAUUUGACUUCCAAUUUCUGUUCGAAAGCAAAAUUAAGGGACUAAAAUUCAAAGUUAGGCACCAUGCAAAUUAUGAAAAUCCUAUAAAUGCAGUUUCAUUAUUGGGAUUUCUUUCAUUGCCAUAAAUGUAAUGUAGAGUUGUUGGACCAUUUUUAUAGCCACGGAAUUCGUCAAGUAUAACAUCAUUUAGUAUUCGUAUAUGUAUUUUUAGAAUUUAUCUAUUGAAAAUUUGUGAUUGUCUAUGCAACUCCCUGUUAGCUGGGUUUAAAAUUAUAUAUUUAUUUUUUAACUAUUUUGUAAUACUUGAGUUUAAUUGGUAUUGUUGUUAUAAUCUGUAUUGCAAGAACCUCCUUUUAGGACUGUGUUCUUAUUGUCGUAAUCUGGGUUUGUGCUAUGUGUCUUUAAUUUAAUUGAAUUGCUACUGUUUAAAAAAAAAAUUAGAAAUAGACUCCAGAUGCCCGUCUCUUCAGUGAUGGCAAUGGCCACCACCGCCACCCACUACAAGUGUAGCUUUCUCAAAUUAAAGAGAUUAAUUAUCUGGGGCUGCUUUCGAUCACGUUUCAUGCAACAACAAUUUUCCACGUGUCUGCAGAAAACAAGUAUCAAUUCUUUAUAGUGUAUAAUAUAGCUUACAUGCAUCUUUUAAUAUAUCUAUUUUCCGUAGCACUUUAUUUAUUUAUUUUCUGACAAGAAAGUCUGAAUACAACUAUUGUGGAUGCCAAUUGUUAGUGAAUCGAAAUAAAUAUAAAAUUCAAUUAGGGUGUAAAUUGAUUUGCAAACAUUUGGAAUAUUAUUCGAGAAUUAAUAUUACAAUAUUCUUUAUUUUUUUUUAACCUUUUUUUUAAAAUAUUAAAUAUUUUAAAAUAUCUUGUUUCUGCACAUCUAUUUUAAUACAAUGAUAUAUAAGUCCAAUAAUGCAUUCUUAUCCAGUAAUUAAUCAAACCUUAAACCUUAAAAUUUUGAUAAGUUAAACCAUCUUAAUCUCUAUCUACUCGUUCAAAGUCGACCGACUUUCUACUCUGUCUUUUUCAAUUAUUUAUUUAAGAGGAAUUCAAGUUGAAUGAGUUAGUAGUUCAGAUUUUGCCAAAAAACAAGGCUUGGCUUCUUAAAAUUAAGAAAGAGCUUCUCCUUAAAACCACUUGUCGUAUUCUAGCAAGAUUGACAAAGUUUCAACAAAAGAGAAAAAUGAAAACUAAAAAAAAUUUACACGUGAAAAUCACAUUGGUUGUAAUUUCAUAAAAAGAUUUGUUUGGAAGGUUAAAUAGUGAUAGGCUGCUGCUGAUAUAAGUAGCAAAAAGGAAAGAGAAUAGUUCUAUCUCAUUUGAACGUGUGAUGCAAAACAUACAGUACGUUGAAAGUUUUUCAGAGAUGGUUGUUGUUAAUUAGUUGCUAUGAUUGACUGUUUGUCAUUUCCGCCAUGAGACUGACUAGAUAGAGCUGGCUGGGUGCACUGGAUCGAUAUGACUCCUUUCCAUGAGUUGGCAUCCUUGAACGAUAUCAUUAAAAGUAAACGUGUAUCAAACGUGUUUGAGAUUUUACAAACAAACAUAGCAGCAGAUAGAAGGCUAUCGAAGUUCUUUGCGUCAUUUUCUUUUUCGGAUCAAUAUAGACUAGAGCUUGUUUUGAUGUUGUAGCUACCCAAUGAAUUAGCUACCAAGAACUAUAUUGAUUAUAUAAAAAAAAGUAAAGCAAAUAUAUAUACUUAAAAUUUUAAUUACAUUCCGCCGUGAUUUACUACAAAUCGAAUUAACUUCAUCAACUCAUGAAGUUGAAAAAAUUAAUGAUGAAGGGACAAUUAUCAUCUACUAUAAUCGUUGUAUCAAAAAUCAACUCUUACCAUUUCAAGUUUCAUUUUUGAGUUAGAGAAAAUGAACAAGAUAUAUGAUAGAAUAAGAAUUUGAACACAUAAUUUGUUGAGUGAAUUCAACAUGUUUGAAAUAUUAGAUUGGUGGGUAGGGCUAAACCCUAACUGAUCGACCUACUAAAAAAGCAUAAAAUAGUGAGCUUGACUUUUAUCUGCAGCCACCUUUCCUAAUCAUAGCAGACAAAGCCCUUUCAUUUUCUUAAAUUUAAUGCUGCCCUUUCCUAAUCGUAUUUAUUUUAUAUAAUAAAAGGCAGAGAAUUGUGAAAUAUUUAAAAUAUAAAAAAAUAUCCUAAGUUAAUGCAAAUAUUAAGAAUUGAAAUUAUUAAUUAAACCAAGGUGGUUGGUGUGAGUGGUUCGGCACUCUCAUUCCUUAAGAGAAGGUCAGGGGUUCGACCCUUGCUCUCGUAUGGAGUCACUACUUUGGCCAGCACUUUACCCCUUACGGGUCGACCUGGUGUGAGCGGGGAUUAGUCUGGGUUGUGGUUAAGGCUUAAAGGUGCCAUCAAUAGUUGGGGCCCAUCCAGGACCACCUCGUGGUUCAGACCAAAAAAUAAAAAAUAAAAAAUAAAAAAAAUUAAAUGAGGAUAAUAUUAAAAAAAUUAAAAUUAAAAGAAAAAUCAGAUAAUAGAUCCUAUUUUUAUGAAACACAACUACUUAUUAUCUUUUUUAAUUCCUAAAAUAAAUUUAUUUUUAUUUUUUAAAAACCUCUCUUAGGCGCGAAAACGCUUGCAAAAAGGCUAGUACCUUAAUUAAACACAAGUCAAAGAUAACUUCUUCUUUGUUGACCUUUGACUAAUAACAAACAACAAGGCUGGGCCUCAACGCAACCCAAAAAAAGGGGCCUCAAUAAAUACUUUCUAUUUUCUUUGCCCAUGAAAAUGUUGGGCUGGCCUAAACCCUACAAAAAAUUUCAAGGUUCUUUUUACAAAAGCGCUUGUAACAAAAUCGUUUUUUUAGCAAAAUUACUUUAUGCAACUAGCCCUUAACAAACAAACUGGGGGUUAAAGUCUAUUCAAUACGACUUACCGUUUGGUUUCGAACACCUUAAACGACUGAAGCAUGUACUCGCAAUCGUCCCUUCCACUCGCCCAUGGCGGCGUGGCCUCGUCGUCCUCCUUCUCCUUCUCGUCGGAGCCAGAGCCAGGAGGUGUAGAAGAAGCUCUGCUCCAACUGGUCCAGGACCACCACCAAACCUCCCUCAGACUCCGCGAAGUCACCGGUGAGUUGACUCAGUUCCCCCCAAAUCGAAUUUUGAAUUCGACCUAGGGUUUGAAAAAAUGAAGCUCGAUUGUUGAAAUUGGAUUAGUGAGAAAUUAAUUGAGUGAUUAAGAGUAAUGAGAGGCGAUUGGUUGUAUCAGAGAAGGCGAAGAAGGACGCGAUUAAGAAGGCGGCGCGCGCGGCGGAGCUGAUGGUGGACGCAGUGAACGGCGGCGUUCAAGAGUCGUUUGUGAACGAGAAGCGAAUUGAGUAUGAAAUUAGGGCUUUGACCGCCACCAUCACUCGCUUCACCAAACAGACCGAUCAAUGGCUCUCUGUCACUCAUUCUAUGAACUCCGCCAUUAAGGUUGAUAGAAUUUCAAUUAUGCAUUUUCGGUGAUUUUCAGUUUUUCUUUUGUAAAUUUAAUUAAUGUUGGUUUUUAAAGAUGGGGUUUUUCUUCUUUGUGCGGCAGGAAUUUGGAGAUUUUGAGAACUGGAUGAAGAUCAUGGAGUUUGAUUGUAAGAAUAUCACUGCAGCUAUUCACAACAUUCACCAAGCAUGAUCAAGCAGCAAGGUGUUUGCCUUUACCAAUUUCCAUGUAAUUUCUGAUUAUCUUCUCUAUAAUUUGUAAAGCAUCUCAAUUAUAGAAUAAUAAACCUUGGUUCUUUUUGCCCCAUAUGGUAUUUCACUUUUCACAAUGUGCAAAUCUGCGUGAAAGUAGCUGAAUUUAGUAGGAUUUAUGAGGGAAAUUAUAACAAGGCUGCCAACACAGCGACUGAUAGUCACUCAGGUAGCUGCUGGGUGAACUGUCGCUCGCAUCCCUCUUUAUGAAUGAGAGGGAGGCAAGUAUAUAUCUACCUUGUUUUAUUUUGGUCACAAUUGACGUUGUAAUGGCCUUUCCAAAAUUUAACUAGAAAUUAAAUGACAAUUGUAUUUUGAAGAGGUCACAUGAAGAGAUGAAGGAGGAAAAUGUCAAAUGCAAAACGCAGCAACUUGUAUCAGAAAACAGAAAACUCAGGUUGGCUUUUGGCCGACUCUUGAGUUGAGUGUCAACAUCUUAGGGAUUAGGGUUAGGGUGGAUUAACCAAUAGCACAAGUUGCUUACAUCAGCUAAUUCUGAAAAGGGUUUAAUUAGAUGGGAUUUGUAUUCUAAUCUAGUACUAAUCCUCUGUUUCACCAUUGACUUCCCAGUAAGACUUGGUCUAAACGGUGAUUGUUAACCUGGAUUUCAUUAAAAAUUAAUCUUAAGAAUAGAGUCGGCCACCUAACCAUUUACUUGUUUUCUGCUUCAGUGCUGCAACUUGGUAUGGUCGCGGAGAGAACUAUCAUUUUUUUUGCAGAUUGUGUGCUGGAGGAAAGACUUUGGGUUCUGCAUUUUCUUCUUCAUUUAUCUUAUUUCCCCCCAAACACCAAAGUCUUUGUAAGCAGCUGUGUUUUGUUAAUGUAAAAACAGAAAACUAUAAUCAAAUAGAGAUAAAAACAAACACCAAUGUGGGUUUAAGCAGCUGUGUUUGAAAAUAAGCAGGGGGUUUCCUGAUCGCAAUGCCUUGCAACGCAAGACAUGAACGGUGGAUAUUAAAAUGGUUUCAUAAUUAAAGAGAUGACACGGAUUAGGGUGGUAAGCAAAGCUGCUUUAGCAUUUUGAAAAGAAAAAUUAAAGUCAAUUACAGUUGGCUUAUAUAUAUAAUAUACUCUGCUAAUUAAUUAAUUUGGGGUUCGGCAAAAUUUUGAAAGGAACUUGCCAUAUGUCAAAUAAAAAUACUUGUUACAUCAGACAAUGCGAAUUUGACAAUAUCAAACAAGUACCAGGUACCACCUCAACAAAGAUAUCAAACAUAUGGGGAAAAAUAACUUGGACGACAAGAAGUAUGCCAUGUCUUGCAAUAUAAUGUCAAAGAAAAUCUUUAUUAUUAAAUAAGAUAGUUCAUUUUUGGGUACAUAACAACAUAAUAGAUUACACUUAGCCAUGGUCAUGAACAUCAAAUCAUGUCAAUGGACUUCAGAAACUUUAAUUGUUACAGAAUAGGCCAACAAAUGUAUAUCAAGUUAACACCGUCUCUCAUGCGCAGUUUCUUUCUACGCAUUGAAAGACAAAAAAUACAAACUAGAGAGAAACAUAUAGGUGCAAACCACACCAUGCACCUCGCACACCAACCAAAAAGUGAGGAAAGAAAACUGGAGGAUUCGUACCCUAAACCUCCUCCAAAUCAAGCUCCGGCACAUGUUGGACAAUCACUUAAUCCUAAAAGCUUAAACUUUUAGGAAAUGGUCACAAUGUAUAUCAAGCAUAUAGAAUCGAAAAUUUGAUUCUAAUUGAUUUUCCGGCAGUUGAGUCUUACUUCUCCAUUAUUCCCAGUGAGAGGCUUGAUGUUGCCCAUCUUGAUCAUAGAAUUUGCAAAGUCUUUUGCAAAAGAUUCCGAGUUCCUGCUGUAUUUCAGCACCAGCUUAUCACUAUCUGUACCAUUAUUUUUAUAGAGCUCUUGAUCAGAAUGGAGGAGACCCUUUUGUUGUAACAAAGCCUUAAAGUAGACGUUAUCGAAUCGCCUUGUAGUUGAAUCUAGUGGCCUUGUGUUGUUGUCUCCUCCAGUUGUUGGACAAUUGUAUUUUGCAGAGGCUGCAAACUUGGGGUCUAUGUUGGUAUCAUUGUAAAUCCUGGCACGGAAGGUGGUACACCGAGCAAGUCCAAUGGUGUGGGCAGCUGAGAGCACAAUCAAGUCUUUAAGGUUAAGUCCAUGAGCUUGGAAGUUAGAAAGAAGCUGUGAGAAGCUGAAGACUGGGGGUGGAAGAUUUCUGUUUGCAUCAUUCACGCUUGCAGUUCUUGCAUCCCUUCUUCCUAAUUGUACUUCGUAAUCAGGUCCUCCCAACUAAAACACAAACACAAAAUUUCAUUUUUAAAAUCAUUUCAUUCCAUGUCGAAAGAAAACGAGUACUCUUAGGAUCACCAAAUUUGUCUGCCAAAUGAAUAUUAGGGUUUAGUAUGAAACUGGAACGUAUACUGGGACAAUAUUUGGUGAACACAUUUGAUGAACCUAGCAAUAUUAGCAAACAUGUAUAUACUCACAAUGGAUACAGAAUCACGAGCUGCAACAGCUAAUAUAUCUGCACAUGAGACCACACUCUUGUAGCAAGCUUUGUCGACAGCUUUUUUGAUAUCAUCGAUGACGUUGAAUCCCCGGAUCGAAUUCAGAUUUGGGAAGGCAGUCUUCUCACCGGUGAAGUUGGCAGUGUCAUCAAGCAGAACCGAUCCAUCGCAACCCUGUAUCAAUUCAACCAUGAACAUAUAUCAGGAAAAAAAUUAGAACUGAUAAUUUACGUGAACAACUAUUUCAAGUGCACUAUAUGCAUGCACAAUCAAUAUAAGCUUAAUUACAUUAACAAAGCAGUCAUGGAAAUGAAGGCGAAGUAGAGAGGCUCCGAUGCGUGGCUCAUGGCUGAUGGCCCGUUUGACGACUUUUCUGAUAGCUGGCAGUGCCUGAGGGCACACUUUGUUGUAGAAACCAGAACUUAGUUGUGCAGAUGUUGGCAUCAUACUAGUGGCAGCUACCACUACAAAACAGAUGAUCACGAGGAAAGAUCGAAGAGCAGCCAUGGCAGAAGGUUUUGAUCUUGUCGAAUUGGUGAAUAGUGAUGAUGAAGAUCAAGGACUUUGAGUGCUUAUAUAUAUAGAAAAUUUGCGUUGCCCACUUGUUAUUUCCAAUUCUAAUAGAAAGCUUGUUAAAUUGGAUGUAUAGACCAAUUCUAAUAUGAGUAAUUUUUGGUGCCUAGUAUGAUUUGAUCAUUGCGUGGACCUGUUCCACUUAAUUUGGAGCGUUAAAUCCUCUUCUCUGUCUUUUCGUCGGAGCCAAGAGAUGUAGAAGCUAAGACAAACAUACCACACCUCUUUUAAUACUGAACUAAUUAGUGAAUAAUUAAGAGUGAUUAACAAAUAUUUGACCAAAAAAGAGUAGUCAGCACUUGCUGAUUUGAAGCAUAAUUGUUGGUUUUUAAGGGUGUGUUUUUGUAUGGCAGGAAAUUGGAGGCAUUGAGAACUGGAUGAAGAUCAUCCAGUUGUAUUUCACAUUCACAAAGUGCAAAUUUGCUUAACAAUAGCCGUACACAAGAGUGAGUGUGAGGGUAGGUAUAGCCUUAUGUGCUUAUAUGUUAUAUAUUAAGUUCCCUAAACGUGACAUGAAUUUUCAUCAAUAUCAUGUCAUGUGAUUGGGCAAGGAUUCUUCAAAAUAUGCAUCAAGUUGGAAUGAAAACUAAGUAGACGCGAUUGUUAUUGGAGUUCGACGCAUGUGUACAUAUAUAGAUUACUUAAUCGUUGUUGACGAUGACAUGCCCCAAUCCAGAUACGAAUACGUGACAAGUGUAUCAGGAUCACCUACUUCAUUUCAUUCAAAGUUGACAUUGGAGUAACCUAUCUUAGAUUCAACAAGAAAUUCAGUGCAGCUUAGUUUGAAAGAGGCCACAUUGAAAAGAAAUAGAAGAAUAAUGUCAAUUUAAAUCGUUGCUUGUACCAGAAACUCAGGAUUUGGAAAUUGCCUUGGCUUUUGGCUGCUUCCAAAUUGAAUGUCAACUUCAUAUGAAUUAGUAGGUAAUUACUAAUUAGGAUGGAUUAACCAAUAAAACAAGUUUCUCAAAUAUCCGUUAAAAUCCAGUCAUUCUUUAUCUUCACCAUUUGACUUAAGACUUGGUCUAUUAACUAACCUAAGAUUCCAUUAAAACUUUAAUCAUAUAGUAUAUAUAGUUAAUUGGUCACCUAACCAUUUACUUGUUUUCUUAUUUAGUCUGCAACUUGGAUAUGGUCGUGGCGAGAGAGAAACCAUCACCAUUUUCAGACUGUGUGUGGAUGUGGAUCAAUGUUGUCGUCUUGUCUUCUUCCCCAGAAUAAGAUAUCAAAAGUUGGGUGCAAGCUAAGCAACGUCUAUUCUUUUUUAAAUCAAACAAAAACAGAGGGGUUUUCCCAAUUUCAGAAUCAAAGCCUUGCAAGUAAGCCGACGGUGGACAUAAAAAAACACAGUUUUAUAAUUUUAUAUAUAAAUGAUGGUAACCAUGAUUUCUUGUACAUGAUUUAUACUAGAAGUCAAUUACUUUUGGCUUAUUAUAAUAUACUUUUAGCUUUGCCGUUUCAUUGCCAUAUGUCAAAAGACGGAACAGUUAGAGCCUAAUUAUAAUGCUUGUAUUUACCAAAGAAAAAUGCUAGACUUAUCACAUUUUUCAUACCACAUUAUAUACCACCUCUCUAAUAGAGGUGGGCACCAUUGUAUUGAUGUGCUCCACCUCUAUUAGAAAGGUGGUACACAAUAUGGUAUGAAAAAUGUGAUCAGCCUAGCAUUACUCUUUAUCAAAAACCGGUACUCACCUACAGAGUUGACUAAACUUUCGCUGGCUAGAAGCCUAUCUGCGGCUCUCUCGAUACUUGGCAAAGCAAGCACCACGUUUACUUGUUCUUGCUCGGCAGCCGAGAGCUCGGCUCGGUCCAACUCAACUGCAAUAACCACCAGACCUGUUAGGUUUUAGCCUACUCUUCGCCAAAAAAAAUAUAAAUAAUAAUAAAACUGUUGAAGAAUACAUGAGUCCCACAUCGAAAACUUAACAAAAUAGAAAGUCUCAUAUAAUAAAUGGUUUCACUCCUAAUAACAUCGAUGCCUUUUGUAUAAAACCACACACCUGCUAAACAGGUGGUUACGUUGGGAACAAUAUUGAUGUUGCUAGUGUGGGCCAAGGGUCCGUCCCUCUGAAAUCUUAACAUGGUAUCAGAGCGGGUUGGUUGACUGAGCUCGAUUAAACCAAAUCAAACAAACUCAAAUCAAACAAAAACCCUAAAUUGAAUCAAAAUCAAACAAACCCUAAAUUAAAUAAUAAUAAAUAAAAAAAUGACCGAUGUGGAAUUGGUUGCACGUGUGGCCCACUAAAAAGUAGUCCCACGUGAGGAGGAGUGUUGAAGAAUACACGAGUCCCACAUCGGAAACUUAACAAAAUAGAAAGUCCCAUAUAAUAAAUGGUUUCACUCAUAAUAACAUCGAGACCUUUUGUAUAAAACCGCACACCUGCUAAACAGGUGGUUAAGUUGGGGACAAUAUCGAUGUUGUUAGUGGUGGGCCAAGGGUCCGUCCCUCUGAAAUCUUAGCAUGGUAUCAGAGCAAUCGAUCCUCGGUUGUCUCUAAAUUCCCAUAUCAAAUUUUCUUCAAACACAAACCCUAAAUCCUCAUAUCAAAUUUCUUCAAACACAAACCCUAAAUCCUCAUAUCAAAUUUCUUGACACCCAAACCCUAAAUCAAAUUCCUCUUAUUUACAGCUUCAAAUACAGAUCUUCAUACCCGAAUCCUCAUAUCCCCUUAUUACAGCACCCUAAACACAAAUUCUUUUUUUUUUGUUCUCUUAUUCUUAAAUAUUUCCGCUGCCAUGAAUAUCGUCUCAUCUUCCCAAACCGCUGACUUCACUUCCCCAUCCUCCAAAAUUGCCACAACAGGUUCCCAUGGUUAUGUUUUGCAUAGUUCUUCAACGAACCACAUCUAGGUUAUUGACAUCGGAGCCACUGAUCACAUGACCUUUGAUCCUAGACAACUUACCUUUCAUACCCCGUCUUCUCAAUCGGUGGUGUCUAAUGCCAAUGGUACCCCUUCCCCAGUAAUUGGGGAGGGUUCCCUCUCUCUCUCUCUCUAACUCCCUCACUUUGGAUUCUGUGUUGAUUGUUCCAUCCUUAUGUCAUAAUCUUUUGUCUGUUGCCCAAAUUACUACGGCUUUGAAUUGCACUGUAACCUUUUGGCAUACUUAUUGUGUUUUUCAGGUCAUCCUUAGCAGCAAGAAGAUGGUUGUGGUACUAGGAGGGGCAAACUCUACUAUCUGGACUUGGCCUCUGACAGUGAAGCCAGCCUCAAUCAAGCUUACAAAAUUUGGGGUACGAGUGUUGAGAAGCAAAUUUCUGAAGUAUGGUUAUGGCAUCGACGUCUUGGACAUGCGUCGUUUGGAUAUUUACAGAAGCUAUUUCCUUCCUUAUUUUCCCAGUUAGAUAUCUCCAAUUUUACGUGUGACAUCUGUGAACUAGUCAAGAGCCAUUGUGUUCCUUUUCCCUUAAGUUCACAUAAAAGUUUGGUUCUUUUUUCUUUUGUUCAUUCUGAUGUUUGGGGCCCGGCUAAAAUUACCACUUCUGGGGGAGCUAGAUGGUUUGUCACGUUUAUCGAUGAUUGCACACGUAUGACCUGGGUUUCUCUUCUCCAAACAAAAGGGGAAGUCAGUUCCAAAUUUCAACAGUUCUAUCAAAUGGUCGAGAAACAAUUUCAUACCAGAAUUCAGGUUCUUCGGUUUGACAAUGGCGGAGAAUUUCUCAACCAUGAUCUUAAUCAGUUCUUACGAGAUCAUGGCAUCAUACAUCAACGCUCAAGCCCUUACACUCCACAACAAAAUGGUGUGGCUGAACGAAAGAAUAGACACUUAUUGGAAGUGGUUCGUGCAUAUCUCUUUGGUGCCAAUAUGCCUCGGUCCUUUUGGGGAGAAGCCGUUCUCUCUGCAGCAUACCUUAUCAAUCGGAUUCCAUCCAGUAUCCUCAAUUUCCAAACCCCCCUUCAAACACUCUACCACCAUCUCCAAAUACCUCAUACCAAAAACCUGGAACCCUGGAUCUUUGGCUGUGUGGUCUUCGUUCACUUACAUGAUCACUAACACAGCAAAUUGGAUCCCCACGCCGAAAAAUGUGUUUUCAUCGACUAUGCACCUCAUCAGAAAGGGUACUGGUGUUAUCAUCCUCCGAGUCAGAAAGUCUAUACUUCUAUGGAUGUUGUGUUCCGGGAAUCCGACAUAUAUUUUUCAAUUGUCCAGGGGGAGGAUCAAAAUGCCAAGACUUCUCACAUUUCAGAAUUUUUCCUUGACUAAAAACGACCGGUCACAGGAUUCGAACAACCGGUCUCCUGCGACUCUGCCUGAAAACGACCAGUUGCAGGAUGCGAACGACCGGCCGCCAGAGACUUUGCCUGAAAAUGACCAGUCGCAGGUCGAAAGCGACCGGUCACCUCCUACAAAUUUGAAUAUGCUUCUUCAAAAUGAUCGGUCCCCAGAGGAUUACGACUGGUCGUCUCCCGGCUGUCAAACUCAUGAGGAGAAAAUUGAGGAGUUUUUGGCCGCUCAGGAGUAUUCUUCAGCUCCAGUAUCACACCAAUCACCUGCUGAGGACGUCAUUUAGGUAACAUCUUUUCCUGAAACUGAUAACAUUAAUGAAAUAGCCCAUGAUAAUUUAAUUUCAAAAGGCACAGAGCCUGCAUAUCAGAUUCCAAAAUGGAAGAACCAUGGAAAACCUCCAAUUCACUACGAAGUAGACCUUAAUGCAAAUGGGAAAUAUUCCAUCAACAAUUAUGUAUCCAUCAAUAGAUCAUCAGAGUCACGGGUACAAUUUGUGAAGCAAUUGGCCGACAUACUUGUUCCCAACAGUAGAACUGAAGCACUAGAAGAUUCAAAAUGUAAAGAAGCCAUGAAUGAAGAAAUGCGAGCUCUCUAGAAGAAUGACACAUGGGAACUUGUGCCAUUACCUCAUGGAAAGAAGACAGUGGGAUGCAGGUGGAUUUAUACUGUGAAACUCAAAGCAGAUGGAUCCAUUGAAAGAUAUAAAGCUAGAUUGGUGGCGAAGGAGUACAUACAAAGAUAUGGGAUAGACUACCAAGAGACCUUUGCCCAAGUAACUAAGAUUAAAACUAUCAGAGUCUUUCUGUUUCUAGCAGCAAAUCUCGAUUGGCCAUUACACCAGUUUGAUAUCAAAAAUGCUUUCUUACUUGGAGACUUGGAAGAAAAAGUAUAUAUGGACUUGCCACCAGGAUGUAACUUAGCUCGUGACAAGGAGAAUCAAGUUUGCAAGCUCAGAAAGUCAUUGUAUGGGUUAAAGCAAUCCCUUAGGGCAUGGUUUGGCAGAUUCACUAAAUCCAUGAAGAAUUUUGGGUAUAUAUAGAGUAAUGCAGAUCACACUUUGUUCUUGAAGUAUGAUGGAAAAAGACUUACUGCAUUGAUUGUUUAUGUGGAUGACAUAGUCGUAACUGGAAACGACACAGGAGAGCAACUGAAACUGCAGAAGUAUUUGUCUCAGGAAUUUGAAAUGAAAGAUUUAGGUGAUCUGAAGUACUUUCUAGGAAUUGAAGUAGCCAGGUCCACAACUGGUAUAUUUAUGUCUCAAAUGAAGUAUGUAUUAGAUCUGCUCACUGAAACAGGAAUGCUUGGAUGCAAACCUGUUGAUACACCCAUCGAGAUGAAUCACAAGUUAUGUGAAGACAUGGAUCAAGAACCAACUAAUAAGGAACAAUACCAACGCCUUGUUGGAAAGUUGAUAUAUUGAGCACACACAAUACCAGAUAUUGCAUAUGCUGUGAGUGUGGUUAGUCAGUUUAUGCAUUCACCCAGUGUGUCCUAUAGGAAUGCAGUUGAUCGGAUCUUAAGAUACUUAAAGUCAGCACCUGGGAAAGAGUUAACGUUCUCUAAAAAUAGAGAUCUCGAAGUUGUUGGAUAUACAGAUACUGAUUGGGCUGGCUCUGUUCCUGACAGACGCUCUACUUCAGGUUACUUAACUUUUGUGGGAGGUAACUUAGUCACUUGGCGGAGUAAAAAACAAAAUGUAGUUUCUCGAUCUAGUGCUGAAGCAAAGUAUCGAGGAAUGGCUCAAGGAGUUUGUGAAUUACUAUGGAUAAGAAGACUAUUGACAGAAUUGGGGUUCAAGCCAGAAAAGCCAAUGGAGUUACAUUGUGAUAACAAGUCAGCCAUCGAUAUUGCCCAUAAUCCAGUUCAACAUGAUCGAACUACACAUGUUGAGGUGGAUAGACAUUUUAUCAAAGAAAAACUUGAGAAGAAGAUCAUCCGCCUACCAUUCGUAAAAUCAGAAGAUCAGUUGGCAGAUAUCUUAACAAUAGCUGUUUGUGGAAGAGUAUUUUAUGACUCACUUACCAAGUUGGGCAUUGGUGACAUAUAUGCACCAACUUGAGGAGGAGUGUUGACGUGAGUCUCCUAAUUAAUCAAAGAGAUUUACUUCCUUGAUUAAUUAAGGGAUUUACUUUCCUAUUUUUAUAUAGUUGAUAAAUUAUUGUAUAAUUAGGAGAUACUUUCCUAAUUCUUUACUGUAUCUAAUUCCUUGUAUAGCACAUGUAAACUCUUAUAUAUACCUCAUUAUGGAGAAGAAUAAAACUUAACCUAAUACAUUCAAACAAUAUUCAUAUUUUAGCAAAAACAACAACAAAAGAACAACGACAAGGAGAAAGGAAGAACAUGAAGCAGGGUAGAACAAGGAACAUAAGGCAACUAUGUAUGCAUGUGUGCCCUAAGCAAAGUGACAGACCGCCCGACCUGGCUUUCUAAAACGCCUCUGUACCCUAGGACGCCUCGGCUCCACCCCCUCAUCAAACUCCCAUGCAGCCGAUGCGUAGAACCAGUACGGUUUCCAUGUUUUCUGAAAGGACGGGUUAGUUUCGAUUAUUUUCCCUACCGCGCUUUAGAGGUAGCAGAAGCCAACUUGGUGUAGGCUUCUCUUUAACAAGAAGCAGUGCAACAUUUGGUUUAUGGUCGGCUCGAAAUUGUGUACCCGCCGCCACAACGCCUGGACACUUAACAUUGUCCUGUACACGUUUGGGUUCAUUUGGUGGGGGGUUAUACCGAGCCGACUCAUCCACUCUUGUACAAAGGGCGAUAAUGGCAGUCGAACCCCCUGCUUCAGCAUAUGUGCACACAAGGUCACCCACCCUAGGAGGGGUGUGCUUGGUUUUUCAUCCCCGGUCGGCACUCUCAGUAUAACGUUGUUCAGUAUGGCGUACUAUGCCCUCAACCGAUCUAAUUUUUGUUGGGUCAUGCUACUCGGAUGUUCAUCCGCUGACCACCCCUGCUCCUCCUCCUUCUUUUCGGAGUGUGAUUCCGCCCAUUCACCCGAUCCCAGUCUGGCCACUGAUGCGCUUCCUUGUUCACCUCGGUCACUACCCUCGCCACUUUGAUCAGUACCCUCUGCCUCCUUACUUCUGUUCCUUCUACUACAACCUCAGUACUCAAACCCACCAAGACCAACAGGCAUUUCCUCACCCAUCUGUUCGGUUGCGUCACACAUCUGAUCCACUACCUCCACAUUGUCCCUAUCAUCAUCCCUGAAGGCUGAUCCACUACUCCCUGUGUUUUGUGAAUCAGACACCUCUGAUCGGCUCGACAUUUCCCACAAAUCACUCACACAGGCUUCAAACACUACCCAAGGGGGAAAGAGUGGAGGCUAAGGAUCAAACAUACCAAAGUAAGAAAAUCCAGGCAACAACACACACCCAACCCAGAAACCCAAGCCAAAACGACAACCUAUGACAGUUACAAUUCUGGGGAAGAAAAGAAGGAAGAGGAAGGAAAGAAAAGAAAGAAGAUUAAGGAAAGAAAAGAAGGAAGAUGAAGGAAUGAAAACAAGUUGAAGAAGCAAAAGCAAGUCAAAAUAAAAGGAGAAGGACAAACCUUUUUUUCCUCCUCUGCAAACAAAGGAAGUGUGAACGGUGACUGAUGCUACUCGGAAAUCUCUCUCAAAUAGCAACAAUGGCAAAGACGGCGAAAUCCUGGCUGAUCCUUCCUUUUAUACCACUUGAACAAACAUCCCUACCAUCCAUGCCUCCUCUACCCCCGCUCGGAUGCAUCCACGUAGGGCUACCCCAGCACACGUCAUUCGAAAUGACGGGAGAUGACUCUACGCGACCCCUCACUGACCUCAACUUCAGCCACCAUUAAUAUGCCGCCUGCUCUGCCAAUCGCCUCUUGCCACAUCACACCUACUCAAGUACCUUCAUUUCAAAAACCUAGCGCCAAUGGCUCAAAGAAGACCUUCUCGGUUGGGGACUUGGGGGUUGCAUACCGACCAUCGACCACCGACCACAUACACCAAAUGUCAUUCAUAAUAGGAUCGGCUCACUCAAAAAGACAAAAUCUAAACUCCCCACCCAAGAUCGGCUCCUUGAGUUAAGAGUUGGGGGCUACUGUUGAUAGCUCAUACAAUCACCAUAAGCCGAGCCUAUUAUGAAUCACCACGUGGCCAUAGUCGGUCACUUUUCUACUGACCCUAGCAUAUCGGCAUCACCAGCCUCCCUAGUCGGAGGGCGACGAACCCGAGUAGUAGUCCAAUGAUCGGGUACGUGAGUAUUUACCCAACCACUAGGACGAGCAUCCUAGAUAUGAGGUGAGGACCUAACCCUGUUCCUGUCAAAUCGAUCAACUCUAUUCCUGUAAUACACAACUUGGCUAACAAGAAGAUUAGUUAAAUGCACGUCCCAUCCCUAAACAGAUGUCGCCUUAUCCCUUGAUCUCCACAUGAACUGACAGGUGAUGGAGAUGGAUCAUUUAAUACACCUCUCAUCCCUGGUCGCAUGUCACUUUGCCACCUGACCUCUGUCCAACAUGGUGAUAUGAAAUAAAACAUUAAAUGUAACUUAGAAGAGGGGAAAAGAUCUCUUCUGAAAAUAUCUUGACCUCUCCUUCUCCCUCCUAUAAAUACCCCUCGCCUAUCUCUAGACAAAGAUAAUAAAGAUUCUCACUGUGGAAACCCUAUAUCUAUUUUUCUCUUUUGCCCAAGUUAGUUGCUGACUUAACUAUCGGAGGAGUCUGAACUGGGAUCAACCCCGGUCCACCCUUAUUCUAAUAUUGUUCCAAGUCUGCAGAUCUUAAAGAAUUACUCAUCUACGAGGGUAAUUACGGGCUUAGGUUCUAGCCAGGGGCCCAAGUUACUAUACGAGAAAGAUACGUGGUUUAUAAAAUCAACAGAAUUGAGUUCAAAACCAAUGGGCCAAAUUUACUUUGUUCGAUUUGAAACAAAAUAAAACAACAUUCCAUCAACAAUUAAUAGGUAAACAACUUUAGCUAAUAUGAAUUUCCUGAAAAUAAAAACAUGCUUUUAUUCGUUGGAAGAAUAAAAAACACCAGCUAAUUAAAUUCUCACUCAACUCAACAAACAAUAACCUUAUAACUCACACAAAAUAAUAAUUCUCCCAACUUCUGGAUAAAACCUCCAAUUCUGGUUUAUUCUUGUGACAGAGAAAGUACCUCCUUAGCUUAGCUAGCUAGUUAGGCCUCCUACAGUUCAAUCUAAUCUCACCGUUGGAUCCAGUGAGUGGCUUAAUAUCUCCCAUCUUGAUCAUUGCCUUGGCAAAGUCAGAAUUGAAGGCAUUGGCACUACCGCUGUACGUUUUAACCAAUGAAUCUGUGGAUCCACCAUUGUUGUAGAGAACUUGGUCAGAGUGGAGGAGGCCCUUUUGGUUGAUGAGGUUCUUGAAGUAAGCAGUGUCAAAAGUGUUGGGAGUUUGGACGUCCAAAGGUGCAAGGUGGUUGUCUCCUGAGCCAACGGUACUUGGGCAUUUCCUUUGCCUGGCCUUGGCAAAUGAUGCAUCAAUGUUGGUGUCGUUGUAUAUGCGAUCUCUAAAAGAUGAGCACUGUGCUUUCCCGAUCGUGUGCGCUCC